rnacentral:rRNA from 1 species
AUACGAAGGGGGCUAGCGUUGUUCGGAAUUACUGGGCGUAAAGCGCACGUAGGCGGAUAUUUAAGUCAGGGGUGAAAUCCCAGAGCUCAACUCUGGAACUGCCUUUGAUACUGGGUAUCUCGAGUAUGGAAGAGGUGAGUGGAAUUCCGAGUGUAGAGGUGAAAUUCGUAGAUAUUCGGAGGAACACCAGUGGCGAAGGCGGCUCACUGGUCCAUUACUGACGCUGAGGUGCGAAAGCGUGGGGAGC